AGGUGGAAUGGGAACACUGAUUUCUUUUGAGAAAAAAAAUCAUCAAGGAAAGAUGGAGGGAAAGGUAUGUGACCCCGGACAAGUCACCAACCUUGGCAACUAAGAAGACUAUAAAUUCGAGAGGAAUGGCUAAUUUGUGUCAGUGGAGAGAAUUUCCCAACAAGGAGAUCCCUAUAACAAAGAAAUUACAGAUUCCCAUCACUCAUAUAAGUACCAUCCUCCUCCCCAAAAGGAAAAUAAAAAUCAUCCAUAACA